UGGCGGUUUUGGAAGUGUGCUUGAGUUUGUUCAUCCAUGGCUGAUGGCACGUUCUGGCUACAAUUUCGGGAAAUGGGCUACGAAUCGUUCUGGCUUUUCCUGUUCGGAUCGUGGGAAAGCUGAAGAAAAUCAGAGAUAUCUGGCUUAGGAACCUCCCAAUGGCACUCUGUGAUUUUGAAAUUUUCCUUCUACUACUUGGUCUGCUUCUAUCAUUCUUCUUGAUGAUAUCUUCAUAAACAGCAUCGACAAGACUAGCAAACCGGCGUUUAAAAGUCGGAAACCUCGAUAUCAAUCUGGUACUUACCUUCGAGCCAAAGCCUCGAGUUCGGCACACUUGCAUUUGGAUUCUGGUGGCAGGCUGAGGUUCGAAUCUUUCAUUCUGAUGGGAUCAUCGCCCAGCAGAACUAAUCUAGAGAGGUACUCCUCUUCCUGCUCAGAC